UACUGGCUCAGAACGAACGCUGGCGGCGUGCUUAACACAUGCAAGUCGAACGCGAAAGGGACUUCGGUCCUGAGUAAAGUGGCGCACGGGUGAGUAACGCGUAGAUAACCUGUCUUCAUGUCUGGAAUAAUACGCCGAAAGGGGUACUAAUACCGGAUAUUCUUGCUUUUCAUAAGUUAUGCAAGCAAAGGUGGCCUCUGCAUAUGCUACUGCAUGAAGAGGGGUCUGCGUACCAUUAGCUAGUAGGUGGGGUAAUGGCCUACCUAGGCGACGAUGGUUAGCGGGUCUGAGAGGAUGAUCCGCCACACUGGCACUGGAACACGGGCCAGACUCCUACGGGAGGCAGCAGUGAGGAAUAUUGCGCAAUGGGGGAAACCCUGACGCAGCGACGCCGCGUGAAGUGAGGAAGGCCUUCGGGUCGUAAAGCUCUGUCAAGAGGAAAGAAGUGUACAAUGGCUAAUACCUGUUGUAUUUGACGGUACCUCUAAAGGAAGCACCGGCUAACUCCGUGCCAGCCGCCGC
rnacentral:rRNA from 1 species